GAUUAAAGGCACGUACAGCGUCCUGUGUGGGUGUUUUCAAAGUUGCUCUUGGUUUGUGUGCUUUUUUUUCAGAUUGUGUGGUCUCAAACUUGUGAUCUUCCGCCAUAACUCCCCCUACUGCCUGCCAAGUGAUAGGAUUACAGGUGCUUGCCACCACACUCAGUGGGAUUUAGAAUGAACCAAGACACCUUAAGAACCCAGUGGGUCCCUGAUGUUAUGGGAAAGUCAUAAGUAAUCCUCGAAGAAAUCCACUAUGGCACUAUCUUAAUUCCUUAAGGGUUUUAGGAUCUUUGGACUCCAAAAUGAAACAUCUAGGAGGAGGAUCUGGAAUACUUCCAGUCAGGGAAGCUCCUUUUUAUAAGAUAAAGGUGACGUCAGUGCCUAUCAUCCAUGUUUUCAUCAUAGCUGGACUAGGUAUUCCAUUUGACUAUGCAAAGAUAUCUCUGCCAGAACUUUAAUUCCUUCAGUAAAAAUUGAAUUUCUUGAUAUCUAAGAUAUUAAAUACUAAAUAUCUAGGUACUCUAGAUAUUAAAGUUCUGGAUGUUUCUAGAUCUGAACUCAGACUCAUAAUGAAUCAUCUUCAGGGGACAAUAAAUUUGUUCAGCCACAGACCAUAGUUUAUUGUGUAAUUUUCUCGGGCUAGUUGUUCUGAAGGUCUGACUCCCUUCAGGGUGGUUUCAUUCUUGAGAAUAAGGCUCAGACCAUUUUGAAAAAAACAAAAGCAUCUUGUAGUUAGGCGCUCGAUAUUGAGUCUAGGGAUAUAAGGCUGGUAUGGGAAGCAUAAGGACACCCAGUCUGGAAACGAAGAGAGAGACCAGAGGAAAGGGAAAGAGCCAUCUUUUGUGUAGGUAGGGCAGACAGGAGAAGGGAGAUGGGAGAUUCUUUCUUUCCCUCCAGCUCAUAUAAAAGAAACAUUUUGGCAUUCAUUGAACUACUAAACAUGGUAAAAUAGAUACCUAUUUCUAGUAUCUUUUAAUAUUCCAAUUAUAGAGAUUACAGAAUAUUCCACAUAUAUAAUCCUAAAGCAGAAACUAAUGUGGAGGGAUUCACUUCCUGUGACUGGCUUUAUUUUGCCUCUGCUUGCAGUAAGAACCAGCCCUGAUAUCUGAGUUAGAAUAGCAGUGUGUUGACCCAGACAUUAACAGAGUGGAGAAAUUGGUGCUAUUGUGUAUUGGAAAUCUUGCUGGCAGCAUCAGGCAGCAUUAGAUAAGUUACUUAGUCAUGGACUUAUAGUAAUGUGUUUCAUAGGGUCUAUACUUGGCAGUUUUGCCCCAUUGUGAUAGUUUGAAUGAGAAUUCCCCCAUAGGCUCAGAUUUCAGUGCUACCAAGGGGUGGUACUAUUUGAAAGAACUAGGAGGUGUGGCUUUGUUGGAGGAAGUGUGUCACUGGAGGGAGGCUCUGAGGCUUCUAAAGGCCACACCAGGCCCACUGGCUAUCUUUUUUCCUGCUGCCUGUGGAUCCAGAUUAGAACUCUCAGCUCCUUCUCCAGAACCGUGUCUGCCUGGGUGCUGCCAUGCUCCCUGCCAUGAUAACCAUGAACUAAACCUCUGAAUCUAUAAGCCAGCCCCAGUUAAAUGCUUUUCUUUAUAAGAGUUGCCAUGGUCAUGUGUCUCUUCACAGCAGUAGAAUACUAAAGACACCUAUAUUGAACUACUAGACAUGACUUUCCCAAUCACUUCCUUGGCCUGUUUCAUUUCUCUUCCAAGGCCUUAGACUUGGUCAAGUGUUUUUGCUCCUUUAGAGCAGUAAAGAGUGCUGAGUAUUUUUUUUUUAAGAUUUAUUUAUUUAUUGUAUGUAAGUACACUGUAGCUGUCUUCAGACACACCAGAAGAGGGAGUCAGAUCUUGUUACGGAUGGUUAUGAGUCACCAUGUGGUUGCUGGGAUUUUGAACUCAGGACCUUCGGAAGAGCAGUCAGGUGCUCUUACCUGCUGAGCCAUCUCACCAGCCCGAGUAUUUUCUUCCUGUACCUUAAACAACAGCAAGGAGCAAACUGAGUUGGCAGUAGUGUAGGCUGUCGGGUUCAGGCUGCUGCACCUCACGUCCUGCCUGUAGUCUAAGGUCUUGUGCUGUCGACCCCCUGUAUGCUCUUGUUGCAUUUUACAGCAAGUCGCUAGUGGAAAAUAACCUUGCAUUCUUCUUUUAGGGAUGUUUUUACUUGACUCAUUGUCAUGUGCUGAGCAGAGCUUCACGUGCCACCCAGAUUUGGGUAUGCAGUGACAGAUAUUGCUGUGAACAGUAGACCGUGGCAUUUUUGUCGUUGGUGUUCUGAGCCAGGUUUAAUCUCACCAGUCAGCACUCCAAAGGCAGAGGCAGGCACAUUUCUGUGAGUUUGAGGCCAGACUUGUCUUCACAGUACAUUCCAGAACAGCCAGGGCUACACAGAGAAGACCCUGUCUCAAAAAACAAACC
rnacentral:lncRNA from 1 species